rnacentral:rRNA from 1 species
GAUGAACGCUGGCGGCGUGCCUAAUACAUGCAAGUCGAGCGAACGGACGAGAAGCUUGCUUCUCUGAUGUUAGCGGCGGACGGGUGAGUAACACGUGGAUAACCUACCUAUAAGACUGGGAUAACUUCGGGAAACCGGAGCUAAUACCGGAUAAUAUUUUGAACCGCAUGGUUCAAAAGUGAAAGACGGUCUUGCUGUCACUUAUAGAUGGAUCCGCGCUGCAUUAGCUAGUUGGUAAGGUAACGGCUUACCAAGGCAACGAUGCAUAGCCGACCUGAGAGGGUGAUCGGCCACACGGGAACUGAGACACGGUCCAGACUCCUACGGGAGGCAGCAGUAGGGAAUCUUCCGCAAUGGGCGAAAGCCUGACGGAACAACGCCGCGUGAGUGAUGAAGGUCUUCGGAUCGUAAAACUCUGUUAUUAGGGAAGAACAUAUGUGUAAGUAACUGUGCACAUCUUGACGGUACCUAAUCAGAAAGCCACGGCUAACUACGUG